rnacentral:rRNA from 1 species
AUUGAACGCCGGCGGCAGGCCUAACACAUGCAAGUCGAGCGGAUGAAGGGAGCUUGCUCCUGGAUUCAGCGGCGGACGGGUGAGUAAUGCCUAGGAAUCUGCCUGGUAGUGGGGGAUAACGUCCGGAAACGGGCGCUAAUACCGCAUACGUCCUGAGGGAGAAAGUGGGGGAUCUUCGGACCUCACGCUAUCAGAUGAGCCUAGGUCGGAUUAGCUAGUUGGUGGGGUAAAGGCCUACCAAGGCGACGAUCCGUAACUGGUCUGGGAGGAUGUUCAGUCACACUGGAACUGAGGCACGGUCCAGACUCCUACGGGAGGCAGCAGUGGGGAAUAUUGGACAAUGGGCGAAAGCCUGAUCCAGCCAUGCCGCGUGUGUGAAGAAGGUCUUCGGAUUGUAAAGCACUUUAAGUUGGGAGGAAGGGCAGUAAGUUAAUACCUUGCUGUUUUGACGUUACCAACAGAAUAAGCACCGGCUAACUUCGUG